GUCUUUUUGUUAUUUAUUUAAAGGUUGGCCUGCUCCAUGACUAAUGUUAAAUAGCCGCAGUAUUUUGACUGUGCAAAGGUAGCAUAAUCAUUAGUUUUUUAAUUGAAAGCUGGAAUGAAUGGUCGGAUGAGAAAGAAUCUGUCUCACUUUAAUUAAUUUGAAUUUUAUUUUUAAGUUAAAAAGCUUAAAUUUUAUAGAAAGACGAGAAGACCCUAUAGAGUUUAAUAGGCUGGACUAUAAUUAUUUGAGGGUUUUAAUUUAAUUAUUUUUUAGCUUGUUUUGUUGGGGUGACAUUAGAAUUUAAUAAACUUCUUAAUAUUUCUACAUUGAUUUAUGAGUAAAUGAUCCUAAUUUUUGGAUUUUAAGAGAAAAUUACCUUAGGGAUAACAGCGUAAUCUUUUUGGAGAGUUCUAAUCGAUAAAAGGGAUUGCGACCUCGAUGUUGGAUUAAAGUUAAGUUUCGGUGUAGCAGCUGAGAUUUUAAGUCUGUUCGACUUUUAAAACUUUACAUGAUCUGAGUUUAAACCGGCGUGAGCCAGGUUGGUUUCUAUCUUUUAUGAAUAAAAUAUUUUAGUACGAAAGGACCAAGUAUUUAAAUAAUAUUUUUUGUUUGAAUAAAAUUGUUGUUUUGGCAGAUUAGUGCAAUAGAUUUAGAAUCUUUAUAAGUAAUUAUAUUACAAAUAACAAUUUAUUUUGUGGAUUUGGUUUUAUUGUUUAUUUCUGUAUUAAUUUUAAUUGUUUGUGUUCUGGUAGGGGUUGCUUUUUUGACCCUUCUUGAACGUAAGGUUUU
rnacentral:rRNA from 1 species